ACAAUUUAUGAACGAAAAGUUUCCGCACCGAACCAAAAAAAGUAAGUUGGCAUGAUGUCAUUACGAGAUGGAAUAUCCGAAUUGAACCCUAAAAGUCGAUAUAAAACUUUGAAAAAAAAAAUUGUGGCAAUUUAAAUUAGUGUCAAUUUUAUUCGAAAUUGACGGCUUUCCCUUUAUAAUUAGUAGUUGGUUUGGGAUCAGCCUUCUACGUUGCAUAAUAAUACACAUGUCACUUCAACAAGAUAAGGGAGUAAGACUUUUACAAAUACAAUGGAUUUUGGCUCACCUACAUAACACCCGAGAACUCACUUUUAUCCUUUAUAAAUCAGUCAAA